UCAGGAUGAACGCUAGCUACAGGCUUAACACGAUGCAAGUCGAGGGGCAGCAUUGGAGUAGCAAUACUCAGAUGGCGACCGGCGCACGGGUGAGUAACACGUAUCCAACCUGCCGCUUACUCGGGGAUAGCCUUUCGAAAGAAAGAUUAAUACCCGAUGGUAUAAAGAGUUCGCAUGUUCUCUUUAUUAAAGAAUUUCGGUAAGCGAUGGGAUGCGUUCCAUUAGAUAGUUGGCGGGGUACCGGCCCACCAAGUCUACGAUGGAUAGGGGUUCUGAGAGGAAGGUCCCCCACAUUGGAACUGAGACACGGUCCAAACUCCUACGGGAGGCAGCAGUGAGGAAUAUUGGUCAAUGGACGAGAGUCUGAACCAGCCAAAAGUAGCGUGAAGGAUGACUGCCCUAUGGGUUGUAAACUUCUUUUAUAAGGGAAUAAAGUGAGGGACGUGUCCCUUUUUGUAUGUACCUUAUGAAUAAGGAUCGGCUAACUCCGUGCCAGCCGCGGC
rnacentral:rRNA from 1 species